rnacentral:rRNA from 1 species
CAGCCGCCGCGGGAAUACGGAGGGUGCAAGCGCUAAUCGGAAUUACUGGGCGUAAAGCGUGCGCAGGCGGUUCGCUAAGACAGAUGUGAAAUCUUGGGGCUCAACCUCAAAACUGCAUUCGAUACUGCUUGGCUAGAGGAAUGGAGGGGAGAUUGGAAUUCACGGUGUAGCAGUGAAAUGCGUAGAUAUCGUGAGGAAGACCAGUGGCGAAGGCGGAUCUCUGGACAUUUCCUGACGCUGAUGCUCGAAGGCCAGGGGAGCAAACGGGAUUAGAGACCCCUGUAGUCCCUGUCUCUUAUAC